AACGCACAUUGCGCCCGGUGGUAUUCUGCCGGGCAUGCCUGUUCGAGCGUCAUUUCUUCCCUCAGGCCCCGCCGCUCUCCAGCGGUCGCGGGUGCUGGUUUUGGGGCACGCGGCAGCCUGCUGCUUGCGGCCCCCAAUUGCAUCGGCGCACGCUGCACGCCGCCCCCUGCGUAGUGGAAACAGCUUUUCGCAUCGGGCCGUGCCGCGGUGUUGCCGCAAAACAACCCCAACUUCAAGUUUGACCUCGGAUCAGGUAGGGUUACCCGCUGAACUUAA
rnacentral:misc_RNA from 1 species